CCAGUUUCAGAUCCCAAUGUUUUUAUGUCAACCCAGACCCUUACUGCUCCACCAAACCAACCAUAUCAAUCAGUUAUUAUUGCCCCACCAACCAUGCAGAGCCAGACCCCAACUUCUCAAACUCAGUAUCAUAUGCUUCCCAAUCCACCUUCCCAGCAAUAUUUGCAACCAUCAGGAGGGAUUAUGAACCCAUAUGGUUAUGGUAGCAUUCCGCCCUUGCCACCAGGGCCACCUCCACCCCCAUCUACACUACAUAUGGUGAAUCCAAUGGCUCCUUUGCCUCAGCAGCAAUCAAUACCAUUGGUUCAGCAGCCAGCUCUAUUAACUCGUCAUCAACCUAUGCCCUUGACUCAGCAACCCCCAGCACCUCCCAGUUUCCGG
rnacentral:lncRNA from 1 species